rnacentral:snoRNA from 18 species
UCGACUGUACUUGAACAGGAUUCAUACUUCAGUUGGUAAACCCUCGUCAGUAUUCUCCAAUACUUGACAAGCUCCUCAUGUCAGACGAAGACUGAAGCUCACCUAGUCUGAGCCGGAAAUCUGCGAUUCUCCUAUGACGCCUAGUCAGGGAUUUCGCUUGAUGAUGGCCCCCCGUCGACAUUCCAAGUCGGGGCUGGACGGCUAGGUGACGUUCUGAUGGCUA